UACAGAGGGUGCAAGCGUUAAUCGGAAUUACUGGGCGUAAAGCGUGCGUAGACGGUUAUGUAAGUCGGGUGUGAAAGCCCCGGGCUCAACCUGGGAAUGCCAUUCGAGACUGCAUAGCUAGGGUGCGGAAGAGGGAAGCGGAAUUUCCGGUGUAGCGGUGAAAUGCGUAGAUAUCGGAAGGAACACCAGUGGCGAAGGCGGCUUCCUGGUCCAGCACCGACGUUCAGGCACGAAAGCGUGGGGAGCAAACAGG
rnacentral:rRNA from 1 species